rnacentral:rRNA from 1 species
UCGAGGGAGAAAGCCGCAAGGUGAGUAAACCGGCGAACGGGUGCGUAACACGUGGAUAAUCUACCUUCCUGACCGGGACAACUGGCCGAAAGGCUUGCUAAUACCGGAUAAGACCACGGGAGCUUCGGCUCCUGAGGGAAAAGGUGGCCUCUGUAUACAAGCUAUUACAGGGAGAUGAGUCCGCGGCCCAUCAGCUAGUUGGCGGGGUAAAGGCCCACCAAGGCAACGACGGGUAGCUGGUCUGAGAGGAUGAUCAGCCACACUGGAACUGAGACACGGUCCAGACUCCUACGGGAGGCAGCAGUGGGGAAUCUUGCGCAAUGGGCGAAAGCCUGACGCAGCAACGCCGCGUGUGUGAUGAAGGUCUUCGGAUCGUAAAGCACUGUCGCGAGGGAAGAUAUGCUCACGAAUAACAAGCGUGAGUUAAGACGGUACCUCGAGAGGAAGCACCGGCUAACUCUGUGCCAGCAGCCGCGGUAAUACAGAGGGUGCGAGCGUUGUUCGGAAUUAUUGGGCGUAAAGCGCUU